UACGUAGGGGCCUAGCGUUGUCCGGAUUUAUUGGGCGUAAAGAGCUCGUAGGCGGUUCGGCAAGUCGGAUGUGAAAUCUCCACGCUCAACGUGGAGGGGCCAUUCGAAACUGCCGUGACUCGAGUCCGGUAGGGGAGUGUGGAAUUCCCGGUGUAGCGGUGAAAUGCGCAGAUAUCGGAAGGAACAUCAGUGGCGAAAGCGACUUCCUGGACCAAUACUGACGCUCAUGUGCGAAAGCGUGGGGAGCAAACAGG
rnacentral:rRNA from 1 species